rnacentral:rRNA from 1 species
AUUGAACGCUGGCGGCAGGCCUAACACAUGCAAGUCGAACGAGUGGCGGACGGGUGAGCAAUGUCUGUGCAACUGCCCGAUGGAGGGGGUUAACUACUGGAAACGGUUGCUAAUACCGCACACCUUCGGAUGUGCCCAGAUGGGAUUGGCUAGUAGGUGGGGUAACGGCGCACCUAGGUGACGAACCCUAGCUGGUCUGAGAGGAUGACCAGCCACACUGGAACUGAGACACGGUCCAGACUCCUACGGGAGGCAGCAGUGGGGAAUAUUGGACAAUGGGCGCAAGCCUGAUGCAGCCAUGCCGCGUGUAUGAAGAAGGCCUUCGGGUUGUAAAGUACUUUCAGCGAGGAGGCGUUACUCGCAGAAGAAGCACCGGCUAACUCCGUGCCAGCCGCCGCGGUAAUAC